UGGCGGACGGGUGAGUAAUGUCUGGGAAACUGCCCGGUGGAGGGGGAUAACUACUGGAAACGGUAGCUAAUACCGCAUAACGUCGCAAGACCAAAGAGGGGGACCUUCGGGCCUCUUGCCACCGGAUGUGCCCAGAUGGGAUUAGCUUGUUGGUGAGGUAACGGCUCACCAAGGCGACGAUCCCUAGCUGGUCUGAGAGGAUGACCAGCCACACUGGAACUGAGACACGGUCCAGACUCCUACGGGAGGCAGCAG
rnacentral:rRNA from 1 species